UUAAGUUCAGCGGGUAUUCCUACCUGAUCCGAGGUCAACCUAGAAAAUAAAGGUUCAACAGGUCUGACGACGUUGGAUGCGUGCGUGUCGCUCAGUGCAUCUACGGUCGUCAGACGCUGUCAUUAUCUUUGAGGUCAAUUGGCAGCAAUUUAACCCAACAUAAACAGGUGUUUAAGGUGAUAAUGACGCUCGAACAGGCA
rnacentral:misc_RNA from 1 species